rnacentral:rRNA from 1 species
GACGAACGCUGGCGGCGUGCUUAACACAUGCCAGUCGAACGGAAAGGCCCUGCUUUUGUGGGGUGCUCGAGUGGCGAACGGGUGAGUAACACGUGAGUAACCUGCCCUUGACUUUGGGAUAACUUCAGGAAACUGGGGCUAAUACCGGAUAGGAGCUCCUGCUGCAUGGGGGGGGUUGGAAAGUUUCGGCUGUGGGGGAUGGACUCGCGGCUUAUCAGCUUGUUGGUGGGGUAGUGGCUUACCAAGGCUUUGACGGGUAGCCGGCCUGAGAGGGUGACCGGCCACAUUGGGCCUGAGAUACGGACCAGACUCCUACGGGAGGCAGCAGUGGGGAAUAUUGCACAAUGGGCGGACGCCUAAUGCAGCAACGCCGCGUGCGGGAUGCCGGCCUUCGGGUUGUAAACCGCUUUCGCCUGUGACGAAGCGUGAGUGACGGUAAUGGGUAAAGAAGCCCCGGCUAACUACGUG